rnacentral:rRNA from 1 species
AGAGUUUGAUCCUGGCUCAGGACGAACGCUGGCGGCGUGCCUAACACAUGCAAGUCGAACGGACGAGGCCCCUUCGGGGACCGAGUUAGUGGCGGACGGGUGAGUAACGCGUGAGCAACCUGCCUUUCAGAGGGGGACAACAGUUGGAAACGACUGCUAAUACCGCAUGAUGCAGCGAGAUCGCAUGGUCUUGCUGUCAAAGAUUUAUCGCUGAAAGAUGGGCUCGCGUCUGAUUAGCUAGUUGGAGGGGUAACGGCCCACCAAGGCGACGAUCAGCAGCCGGACUGAGAGGUUGAACGGCCACAUUGGGACUGAGAUACGGCCCAGACUCCUACGGGAGGCAGCAGUGGGGAAUAUUGGGCAAUGGGGGAAACCCUGACCCAGCAACGCCGCGUGAAGGAAGAAGGCUUUCGGGUUGUAAACUUCUUUUACCAGGGACGAAGAACGUGACGGUACCUGGAGAAAAAGCCACGGCUAACUACGUGCCAGCAGCCGCGGUAAUACGUAGGUGGCAAGCGUCGUCCGGAUUUACUGGGUGUAAAGGGCGUGUAGGCGGAGCUGCAAGUCAGAUGUGAAAUCUGGGGGCUUAACCCUCAAACUGCAUUUGAAACUGUAGCCCUUGAGUAUCGGAGAGGCAGGCGGAAUUCCUAGUGUAGCGGUGAAAUGCGUAGAUAUUAGGAAGAACACCAGUGGCGAAGGCGGCCUGCUGGACGACAACUGACGCUGAGGCGCGAAAGCGUGGGGAGCAAACAGGAUUAGAUACCCUGGUAGUCCACGCUGUAAACGAUGAAUACUAGGUGUGGGGGGACUGACCCCCUCCGUGCCGGAGUUAACACAAUAAGUAUUCCACCUGGGGAGUACGACCGCAAGGUUGAAACUCAAAGGAAUUGACGGGGGCCCGCACAAGCAGUGGAUUAUGUGGUUUAAUUCGACGCAACGCGAAGAACCUUACCGGGAUUUGACAUCCUACUAACGAAGCAGAGAUGCAUUAGGUGCCCUUCGGGGAAAGUAGAGACAGGUGGUGCAUGGUUGUCGUCAGCUCGUGUCGUGAGAUGUUGGGUUAAGUCCCGCAACGAGCGCAACCCCUAUUGUUAGUUGCUACGCAAGAGCACUCUAGCGAGACUGCCGUUGACAAAACGGAGGAAGGCGGGGACGACGUCAAAUCAUCAUGCCCCUUAUGUCCCGGGCUACACACGUAAUACAAUGGCGGUCAACAAAGGGAAGCAAAGCCGCGAGGCAGAGCAAACCCCCAAAAGCCGUCUCAGUUCGGAUUGCAGGCUGCAACUCGCCUGCAUGAAGCUGGAAUUGCUAGUAAUCGUGGAUCAGAAUGCCACGGUGAAUACGUUCCCGGGCCUUGUACACACCGCCCGCCACACCUUGAGAGUCGGGAACACCCGAAGUCCGUAGUCUAACCCGCAAGGGAGGGCGCGGCCGAAGGUGGGUCUGAUAAUUGGGGUGAAGUCGUAACAAGGUA